UACGUAGGGGGCAAGCGUUAUCCGGAUUUAUUGGGCGUAAAGAGCUCGUAGGCGGCUGAUCGCGUCGGUUGUGAAAGCUCAGGGCUCAACCCUGAGACGCCAAUCGAUACGGAUCGGCUAGAGGUAGGUAGGGGAAAGUGGAAUUCCCAGUGUAGCGGUGAAAUGCGUAGAUAUUGGGAGGAACACCAGUGGCGAAGGCGGCUCACUGGACCGGAACUGACGCUGAGGCGCGAAAGCGUGGGGAGCAAACGGG
rnacentral:rRNA from 1 species